rnacentral:SRP_RNA from 1 species
GCUGAGCAUGGUGGUGUGCACCCGUAAUCCCAGCUACUUGGGAAGCCGAGGCGGGAGGAUCACUUGAGUCCAGGAGGUCCAGACUGCAGUGAGCUGAGAUCCAGCCACUGCAGUCCAGCCUGGGUGACACAGUGAGACCCUGUCUCAA